rnacentral:rRNA from 1 species
UGCGUAGGCGGCCAUUUAAGUGAGAUGUGAAAGCCCCGGGCUCAACCUGGGAACUGCAUUUCAAACUGAGUGGCUAGAGUAUGUCAGAGGAAAGUGGAAUUUCCGGUGUAGCGGUGAAAUGCGUAGAUAUCGGAAAGAACAUCAGUGGCGAAGGCGGCUUUCUGGGAUAAUACUGACGCUGAGGCACGAAAGCGUGGGGAGCAAACAGGAUUAGAUACCCUGGUAGUCC